rnacentral:rRNA from 1 species
GAUGAACGCUGGCGGCGUGCCUAAUACAUGCAAGUCGAGCGAACGGACGAGAAGCUUGCUUCUCUGAUGUUAGCGGCGGACGGGUGAGUAACACGUGGAUAACCUACCUAUUAGACUUGGAUAACUUCGGGAAACCGGAGCUAAUACCGGAUAAUAUUUUGAACCGCAUGGUUCAAAAGUGAAAUACGUUCUUGCUGUCACUUAUAGCUGGAUCCGCGCUGCAUUAGCUAGUUGGUAAGGUAACGGCUUACCAAGGCAACGAUGCAUAGCCGACCUGAGAGGGUGAUCGGCCACACUGGAACUGAGACACGGUCCAGACUCCUACGGGAGGCAGCAGUAGGGAAUCUUCCGCGAUGGGCGAAAGCCUGACGGAGCAACGCCGCGUGAGUGAUGAAGGUCUUCGGAUCGUAAAACGCUGUUAUUAGGGAAGAACAUAUGUGUAAGUAACUGUGCACAUCUUGACGGUACCUAAUCAGAAAGCCACGGCUAACUACGUG